rnacentral:rRNA from 1 species
AGUAACACGUGGAUAACCUACCUAUAAGACUGGGAUAACUUCGGGAAACAGGAGCUAAUACCGGAUAAUAUUUUGAGCCGCAUGGUUCAAAAGUGAAAGACGGUCUUGCUGUCACUUAUAGAUGGAUCCGCGCUGCAUUAGCUAGUUGGUAAGGUAACGGCUUACCAAGGCAACGAUGCACAGCCGACCUGAGAGGGGGAUCGGCCACACUGGAACUGAGACACGGUCCAG